UACGGGGGGUGCAAGCGUUGUUCGAAAUCAUUGGGCGUAAAGAGCGUGUAGGCGGCUUGACAAGUCAGAUGUGAAAGCCCUGGGCUUAACCCAGGAAGUGCAUUUGAAACUGUCUGGCUAGAGUAAGGAAGAGGAAAGCGGAAUUCCUGGUGUAGAGGUGAAAUUCGUAGAUAUCAGGAGGAACACCGGUGGCGAAGGCGGCUUUCUGGUCCUAUACUGACGCUGAGACGCGAGAGCGUGGGUAGCAAACAGGAUUAGAUACCCUGGUAGUCCACGCCGUAAACGAUGUUCACUAGGUGUUGGGGGUAUUGACCCCCUCAGUGCCGCAGCUAACGCAUUAAGUGAACCGCCUGGGGAGUACGGUCGCAAGACUAAAACUCAAAG
rnacentral:rRNA from 1 species